rnacentral:rRNA from 1 species
AGUGAACGUUGGCGGCGUGGAUUAGGCAUGCAAGUCGAGCGAGAACCGUAGCAAUACGGGGACAGCGGCAAAAGGGACAGUAAUGUGUAGGUACCUACCUCCGGGUUCGGGAUAGCUGCGGGAAACUGCAGGUAAUACCGAAUAACGUCUCCGGACCAAAGGUGUGAUUCCACCUGGAGAGGGGCCUGCAUCCCAUUAGCUUGUUGGCGGGGUAACGGCCCACCAAGGCGACGAUGGUUCGCGGGUGUGAGAGCACGACCCGCGUCAUUGGGACUGAGACACUGCCCAGACCCCUACGGGUGGCUGCAGUCGUGAAUCUUCGGCAAUGGGCGCAAGCCUGACCGAGCGACGCCGCGUGCGGGAUGAAGGCCUUCGGGUUGUAAACCGCUGUCGUAGAGGAGGAAAUGCAGGGGGGUUCUCCCCUCUGUUUGACCUAUUCUAGGAGGAAGUACGGGCUAAGUUCGUGCCAGCAGCCGCGGUAA